CCGUCGAUAGCUCAGUUGGCAGAGCGGUGGACUGUAGGUGGUUAUAACAGGUAUCCAUAGGUCGCUGGUUCGACUCCGGCUCGACGGA
rnacentral:tRNA from 1 species